AUAACUCCUCGAAAGGGGAGUUAAUACCGAAUAAUAUUCCAGUUCCCACGGGAGUUGGAAUCAAAGGUGGCCUCUGCAUGCAAGCUAUCGUUUAAGGAUGGGCCCGCGUGCCAUUAGCUAGUUGGUAGGGUAAUGGCCUACCAAGGCUACGAUGGUUAGCUGGUCUGAGAGGAUGGCCAGCCACACUGGAACUGAGACACGGUCCAGACUCCUACGGGAGGCAGCAGUGGGGAAUCUUGCGCAAUGGGGGAAACCUUGACGCAGCAACGCCGCGUGGGUGAUGAAGGCCUUCGGGUCGUAAAGCCCUGUCAGGUGGGAAGAAACUUGUGGAUGCUAAUAUCAUCCACACUUGACGGUACCACCGGAGGAAGCACCGGCUAACUCCGUGCCAGCAGCCGCGGUAA
rnacentral:rRNA from 1 species